UUGAACGCUGGCGGCAUGCUUUACACAUGCAAGUCGAACGGUAACAGGUUAAGCUGACGAGUGGCGAACGGGUGAGUAAUGCAUCGGAACGUGCCCGAUCGUGGGGGAUAACGCAGCGAAAGCUGCGCUAAUACCGCAUACGAUCUGAGGAUGAAAGCGGGGGACCGUAAGGCCUCGCGCGAUCGGAGCGGCCGAUGUCAGAUUAGGUAGUUGGUGGGGUAAAGGCUCACCAAGCCGACGAUCUGUAGCUGGUCUGAGAGGACGACCAGCCACACUGGGACUGAGACACGGUCCAGACUCCUACGGGAGGCAGCAGUGGGGAAUUUUGGACAAUGGGGGAAACCCUGAUCCAGCCAUUCCGCGUGAGUGAAGAAGGCCUUCGGGUUGUAAAGCUCUUUCAGGAGGGAAGAAACGGUUGCGGCUAAUACCCGCGACUAAUGACGGUACCUUCAGAAGAAGCACCGGCUAACUACGU
rnacentral:rRNA from 1 species